GAUGAACGCUAGCGGCAGGCUUAACACAUGCAAGUCGAGGGGUAACAGGGAAGAGCUUGCUUUUCUGCUGACGACCGGCGCACGGGUGCGUAACGCGUAUAGAACCUACCUUUUACAGGGGAAUAGCCCAGAGAAAUUUGGAUUAAUGCCCCAUAGUAUUAUUGAAUGGCAUCAUUUAAUAAUUAAACAUUUAUGGGUAAAAGAUGGCUAUGCGUUCUAUUAGCUAGAUGGUAAGGUAACGGCUUACCAUGGCAACGAUAGAUAGGGGUCCUGAGAGGGAGAUCCCCCACACUGGUACUGAGACACGGACCAGACUCCUACGGGAGGCAGCAGUGAGGAAUAUUGGACAAUGGAGGCAACUCUGAUCCAGCCAUGCCGCGUGCAGGAAGACGGUCCUAUGGAUUGUAAACUGCUUUUAUAUAGGAAGAAACCUUUCCACGUGUGGAAAGCUGACGGUACUAUAAGAAUAAGCACCGGCUAACUCCGUGCCAGCAGCCGCGGUAAUACGGAGGGUGCAAGCGUUAUCCGGAAUCAUUGGGUUUAAAGGGUCCGUAGGCGGACUAAUAAGUCAGGGGUGAAAUCCAACAGCUUAACUGUUGAACUGCCUUUGAUACUGUUAGUCUUGAGUUAUAUGGAAGUAGAUAGAAUAUGUAGUGUAGCGGUGAAAUGCUUAGAGAUUACAUAGAAUACCGAUUGCGAAGGCAGUCUACUACGUAUAUACUGA
rnacentral:rRNA from 1 species